rnacentral:rRNA from 1 species
ACCAUUGGAGACGGACUCACAUGUAGAUUCUGGACUGACCAUUGGCUAGAUGGCAAGUCGAUCGCCGAGCUUGCACCGAGCCUGACCGCUUUGGUUCCUCGAAGACGCCGCAAUAAGCGCCUAGUCCAGGAGGGACUCCUCAACCGGGCAUGGAUCCAGGACAUCCAUGGCGCACUUGGAGUCGAGGCCACUGUCAAGUACAUCUAUCUCUGGAGGCGUCUGCUUCAGGUCACCCUCUCCUCUGACCCCGACCGUAUACGCUGGUGA